rnacentral:rRNA from 1 species
AAUGAACGCUGGCGGCGUGCCUAAUACAUGCAAGUCGAGCGAACGGACGAGAAGCUUGCUUCUCUGAUGUUAGCGGCGGACGGGUGAGUAACACGUGGAUAACCUACCUAUAAGACUGGGAUAACUUCGGGAAACCGGAGCUAAUACCGGAUAAUAUUUUGAACCGCAUGGUUCAAGAGUGAAAGACGGUCUUGCUGUCACUUAUAGACGGAUCCGCGCUGCAUUAGCUAGUUGGUAAGGUAACGGCUUACCAAGGCAACGAUGCAUAGCCGACCUGAGAGGGUGAUCGGCCACACUGGAACUGAGACACGGUCCAGACUCCUACGGGAGGCAGCAGUAGGGAAUCUUCCGCAAUGGGCGAAAGCCUGAUGGAGCAACGCCGCGUGAGUGAUGAAGGUCUUCGGAUCGUAAAACUCUGUUGUUAGGGAAGAACAUAUGUGUAAGUAACUGUGCACAUCUUGACGGUACCUAAACAGAAAGCCACGGCUAACUACGUG